rnacentral:rRNA from 1 species
AGUGAACGCUGGCGGUAGGCCUAACACAUGCAAGUCGAACGGCAGCACAGUAAGAGCUUGCUCUUACGGGUGGCGAGUGGCGGACGGGUGAGGAAUACAUCGGAAUCUACUUUUUCGUGGGGGAUAACGUAGGGAAACUUACGCUAAUACCGCAUACGACCUACGGGUGAAAGCAGGGGAUCUUCGGACCUUGCGCGAUUGAAUGAGCCGAUGUCGGAUGAGCUAGUUGGCGGGGUAAAGGCCCACCAAGGCGACGAUCCGUAGCUGGUCUGAGAGGAUGAUCAGCCACACGGGAAGUGAGACACGGUCCAGACUCCUACGGGAGGCAGCAGUGGGGAAUAUUGGACGAUGGGCGCAAGCCUGAUCCAGCCAUACCGCGUGGGUGAAGAAGGCCUUCGGGUUGUAAAGCCCUUUUGUUGGGAAAGAAAAGCAGCAGGUUAAUACCCCGCUGUUCUGACGGUACCCAAAGAAUAAGCACCGGCUAACUUCGUG